GGAACACAAAUCUUCUUGCCCGUCCUAAAAGUAUCAAGGACUCCAGACAUUUCCCAGGUGGGUUCGGAUGUCCAUCCGUCCAUUCGUCCGUCCCGGCGGCGGUCAGCAGGUGGCGGUUUUGCGGUACUUCUUCACUUGGCAGAACUUGGAGUUAGAGAAUAGAGUCAUAGAACCCUUAGAGUUGGAAGGGACCUCUGAGGGCAAGCUAGUCCAACUCCCCUGCAAUGAACAGGGUCAUCACAGCUACAUCAAGUUGCCCAGGGCCUGAUCCAGCCUCGCCUUCAAAGUCUCCAGGGACGGGACAUCAACCACAUCACUGGGAAAGCUGUUCCAGUGCCUCACCACCCUCACUAAAAACCAAUUUUUAAAAAUUAAACCUAAAUGACGGCUGAAUAUCACAGAAGAAAUGAGAGGAGGAGAAAGCUUGAAGACCUGUCUGUCCACCAGAAAUGGAUGUUAUGAAAUGACAGACUCAAAUUUACCCAAUCUCAAUUAUCACAUUAGCAACAGAGCUACUGAAGCCUGCUUUCUUUUGUAUUUGUGUCUUGAACUUGGAUUUAUUCAUGUCUGAAUAAGAUAUGAGGGCCAGAUGACGCGUCACCUGUCCUGCGUGUGCUUCUCCACAUGGCUUUUAAUAAGGAGUGAGACACCACUGCUGUAGCUCCGGCGGUGGAGAACAACUCAUCAUCCUCAGUUCUCCCUGCCCACUGCAGCAAGAAGAUCAUGGCUGCAGAGGCAUGGAAAUGUCCCGUCUGCCGCGAUGUGCGACAGGAUGUUGCCUAUACAACUCCAUGCAAUCACAUGUUCUGCCUUGGCUGCAUCCAGCGGUGGGCAAGGCUGAGGGACAGCUGCCCGCUGUGCAGGACAGCUAUGCAGACCAUCCGGGUCUCUGUGAGGGGAGACAAUCAGUACGUGGAGUGCAUCGUCUCCCCGCCCGCAGUGCCAGUGCCCAUCAGCUUCAGCACCACCACUGACACUGGCCCUGAUAGCGCUGAGGAAUUCCUUCCACCCCCUCCACCACCAUUCCCUGAGCAGGAGGCUGAAGAGCUGGAGAGAGUGGGCGGCCUCGUGCCAGAGGAGUGGGCAGCACUUUUCAGGGAGAGGCAAGACAUUCUCAACCCAGUGCUGCCCUUGAUGGAGCAGCAGCUGUCACACAUCCACGUGCUGCGCUGGUGGCAAAUCAAGUGGCUAAAGAGCAUUAUCCUGGCAUUGCUGUGCCAGGUGGGGCUGGACAGGGAUGCCCUGGUGCAACACUUAGAGGGCAUCCUGGGACCCACCACAGGACAGCUCGUUGACAUCACCAUUGAAGCCAUCCAGAGACUGUGUGGCCAGGAGGCCCAGAGGCUGCUGGGCCUCGAAGACCCUAGUGCCAGCCAGGAGCACGAGGAUGAGCCCGAAGACCCCAGCGCUGCCCAGGAGCACGAGGAUGGCCCUGCGGCCCCUUCUGGUCCUGCUGCCUCUCCUCAGGAGACCACCGCCCCCAGAGCCGCGCCCACCAGCAGCUCCACGGGUCCCAACACAGAGGAGCUCCCCGGCACAUCCAGGGGAACUCCUGGCCAGCCGGGUCCCGAGGCUGCCGGUCCCUCUGAGCAGGGCCGCAGCCGCGGCUCCUCCGCUCGCG
ensembl:lncRNA